CCCGGACUGUCGGCCAGGAGAAGAAAGGUU
rnacentral:piRNA from 1 species